AUAGCGUAUAUUAAAGUUGUUGCAGUUAAAAAGCUCGUAGUUGAAACUUGGGUCUGGCUAGCGGGUCCGCCUCACCGCGUGCACUUGUCCGGAUGGACCUUUCCUUCUGGAGAACCUCAUGCCCUUCACUGGGUGUGUUGGGGAACCAGGACUUUUACUUUGAAAAAAUUAGAGUGUUCAAAGCAGGCCUUUGCUCGAAUACGUUAGCAUGGAAUAAUAGAAUAGGACGUGCGGUCCUAUUUUGUUGGUUUCUAGGAUCGCCGUAAUGAUUAAUAGGGAUAGUCGGGGGCAUCAGUAUUCAAUUGUCAGAGGUGAAAUUCUUGGAUUUAUUGAAGACUAACUACUG
rnacentral:rRNA from 1 species